AUUUGCAAGUUUUUUUUUUAGAUAAUACAAUUUAUUUUAAAGAAAAUUGUAAAUGCCACUAAGAGCUGUGACCCAUGGAUUCUUUGGGUGACAGGUAUAUGAAAUUCCUUCUUCCUGUUUACUCGUUUGGUGCUGUGAUCUCCCAACUGUUGUUAUUAAUUCCCACUGAGCCUAAUUUAAACCAAAAGCUCGCUGUGGAGACUGAGUUUCAUCAGACGACACUCCUGGGAAGCCUCCAAUGCUACAAUACUACAUUUUGGUUUGCCAAACAAGUUAAAUUUCUCACAUUCCUCUUAAAACUUUAGAGCAACUGACCUAAGAAUGCAUUAAAGCAAUACUUGAGCUGUGUCUCCACCUGAAGAUCUCACAAAGCACUAACAUUCAUUAACACUCAUCUCCAGGGCCCAGCCUCUUCUUGUGCCGUGCGAGGUAAACUUCCUUCUGCCAAGAAGAUUAAGAGUUUGACAUCACACAGGAUAUAUAUAUAUGAUCACAGGAACAGGCAUACCGUCCAAGCCCCAGGGACUGCAAGGGAAGUGCUCCACAGGUAUAGUAGGCCUCCUCCAGCUCAGCUGGUUUGAGACAGCUGCACCAGAACUUCCCUCAACCCAGAGUCCCCAACUCAGAGAAGGAAGUCACAACAGGCUGGCACUUCCACACCCAUGGAGAGAAGCUGGGCAUCUUACGACUACUUCACUGUUCUGUAUGCACCCAACUAAAUUCUACACACACUAAACGGGAAGGAAGAUGAUAUUUCCAAAGGGCAACAGAAAUUGGAAAUAGUCAGGAAACCCAAAGCUUACUACACUACGGUCCAACCAGAAAAGAGCAACAAACCCCACACAGCAUUCACAUGUCGAAGCAAGUGAACCCCAGACUUACUUCCCGGCUUUUGGAGUCUUUCAGUCACUAACCAUUUGCUUCUUAUUGCUCACCAAAGUACAAUGCGUAAUCUGUGGGGUACUAUGUGACUUAGACAUAGCAUGCCUGGCUUGUUACCAUCCUUACGGAAAAGCCCAUGAACAAGGUUAUUAAAUCUUUCUUUUAAUGUUGAGGCCACCGAGCCUCAGUGGGAGAGAAACACACACAUUUACCCCAGGACUCACACAAAAUAGAUUCCAGAUCAUGGCACUGAACUAUGGGCUUCUGACAUCGAGGUUUUGGGGUCCAUGUGUUCACAGAGUCAAACUCUUAGUGCCACAGUGGUAUCCAGCCUCUGUGGGGAGCAGAACCAAGUGCCAAGUUUGGGACCUUAUGAGAGAGGUAGGUCAGCCAACCAGUCCUGACCAGUGGAGCGAGUACAAGAACUCAGAGGGACGUGGGGAGCUCCAUCAAACUAGAAACUCCUCAAAAGCUGAGGUAACUUCUACAGGAAAACAUGCUCUUGCCAGAGGAAAGACCAAAGGUUUCUCCAGAGUCCAGCAGAACAGUGUCAUUUGAAAAUCUCCUUGAGGGCUGAAGAGAUGGCUCAGUGGUUAAGAACACUGACUGUUCUUCCAGAGGUCCUGAGUUCAAAUCCAACCACAUGGUGGCUCACAACCAUAUGUAAUGGGAUCCAAUGCCCUCUUCUGGUGUGUCUGAAGACAGCUACAGUGUGCUCAUAUAUAAAUAAAUCUUUAAAAAAGAUCUCCUUGAACCUACUGAUUACUUGAAGCAGCCAGCCAAACUCUGCCUAUGGUAUAGUCUGAACUUUGUUUUGCUUCUCAUCAAAAUAAAGUCUGGAAAGUAAGAAA
ensembl:lncRNA